rnacentral:rRNA from 1 species
UCGCUUGUUUAUCAAAAACAUGUCUUUUUGUUUAUAAUAUAAAGUCUAACCUGCCCACUGAUUAAUAUUAAAGGGCCGCGGUAUUUUGACUGUGCAAAGGUAGCAUAAUCAUUUGUCUCUUAAUUGGAGGCUAGAAUGAAUGGUUGAAUGAAAUAUUAACUGUCUCAUUUUUAAAAUUAUAAGAAUUUAGCUUUUUAGUUAAAAGGCUUAAAUAAAUUUAAAGGACGAGAAGACCCUAUAGAUCUUUAUAACUAUUUAAAUUUUAAAAUAUAGUAAAUUAUUAAAUAAAAUUUAUUUAUUUAUUAUAUUGGGGUGAUAGGAAAAUUUAAUAAACUUUUUUUAUAAGUAUAACAUUGAUUUAUGAAAAAUUGAUCCAUUUUUAAUGAUUAUAAGAUUAAGUUACCUUAGGGAUAACAGCGUAAUUUUUUUAAAGAGUUCUUAUCGAUAAAAAAGAUUGCGACCUCGAUGUUGAAUUAAAGAUUAUUUCUAGGUGUAGAAGUUUAGAGUUUAGGUCUGUUCGACCUUUAAAUCUUUACAUGAUCUGAGUU